CCGGUUGAUCCUGCCAGACCCGACUGCUAUCAGAGUGGGACUAAGCCAUGCGAGUCAACGCCGAAAGGCGUGGCAUACGGCUCAGUAACACGUAGUCAACAUGCCCAAAGGACGUGGAUAACCUCGGGAAACUGAGGAUAAACCGCGAUAGGCCAAGGUUUCUGGAAUGAGCCAUGGCCGAAAUCUACAUGGCCUUUGGAUUGGACUGCGGCCGAUCAGGCUGUUGGUGAGGUAAUGGCCCACCAAACCUGUAACCGGUACGGGCUUUGAGAGAAGGAGCCCGGAGAUGGGCACUGAGACAAGGGCCCAGGCCCUAUGGGGCGCAGCAGGCGCGAAACCUCUGCAAUAGGCGAAAGCCUGACAGGGUUACUCUGAGUGAUGCCCGCUAAGGGUAUCUUUUGGCAUCUCUAAAAAUGGUGCAGAAUAAGGGGUGGGCAAGUCUGGUGUCAGCCGCCGCGGUAAUACCAGCACCCCGAGUGGUCGGGACGAUUAUUGGGCCUAAAGCAUCCGUAGCCGGUCUUGCAAGUCUUCCGUUAAAUCCACCUGCUCAACAGAUGGGCUGCGGAGGAUACUACAGGGCUAGGAGGCGGGAGAGGCAAGCGGUACUCAGUGGGUAGGGGUAAAAUCCUCUGAUCCACUGAAGACCACCAGUGGCGAAGGCGGCUUGCCAGAACGCGCUCGACGGUGAGGGAUGAAAGCUGGGGGAGCAAACCGGAUUAGAUACCCGGGUAGUCCCAGCUGUAAACGAUGCAGACUCGGUGAUGGGUUGGCUUCGCGCCAACCCAGUGCCGCAGGGAAGCCGUUAAGUCUGCCGCCUGGGGAGUACGGUCGCGAGACUGAAACUUAAAGNGAAUUGGCGGGGAG
rnacentral:rRNA from 1 species